rnacentral:rRNA from 1 species
UGUCCACUGAACCUUAUCAUUUAGAGGAAGGAGAAGUCGUAACAAGGUUUCCGUAGGUGAACCUGCGGAAGGAUCAUUGUCGAUGCCUAUCAAUCAGAUUGACCACGCGAACUUGUGAUGCCCAAUUAUCGGGGGCGGCGUUCAGCCAACCCCGUCCCUUUGCACCGCGGGAUGUUCCUGUCUCAAGCCUUGAGCAAUCAGGUUUGUUGACGGUACAUUCGGCGGCUGACUCGGGGAGGCCGAACAACAACUCGGCGCGGUCAGCGCCAAGGAUUUGGAAUUACGUGUAUGCCAUUCUCAUCCGUGGGUUUGUCAUUACAUCAAUCUAAAAAAUCACGACUCUCGGCAACGGAUAUCUUGGCUCUUGCAUCGAUGAAGAACGUAGCGAAAUGCGAUACUUGGUGUGAAUUGCAGAAUCCCGUGAACCAUCGAGUCUUUGAACGCAAGUUGCGCCCGAGACCUUUAGGUUGAGGGCACACCUGCUUGGGCGUCAUGCUAUGCGUCGCUCCCACAUCCGUCUCGGAUAUAGGACGCGGAUAUUGGCUAUCCGUUCAAAUCAUUGCGCGGUUUGCCUAAAAUUUGGACCUUUGGCGGGCUGCGAUACGUCUAGUGGUGGUUGUUGGCUCAUUGCUAGCCGCGAUUGACAGAAGGACGCGUCGAUGCCCCGCCUUAAGGUUUGCCUUUGGAACCCAAGUCGGGGGUCUUUUGACUUUCGAACAGCGACCCCAAGUCAGGUGGGGACACCCGCUGAGUUUAAGCAUAUCAAUAAGCGGAGGA